UAUCAAGGGACUGUUUGCUGGUGCUUGGUCUAAAGCAGCAAGGUACAAACCUUAUGGAUUAUGAUUUUCUGGUGUCAAGACUACAUACUUUACUUGCUGUAUUCUCCCAUGAAGCCUGAGCAAGACUUUUAGAGAAAACAAUUCAGCUCCCCUUCCGAUGCUGAAAGGCCACUGUGAGGUCACCUCAACUGGAGCUGGAUCUUCUGAGUGCAGAACUGAAUGAACCUCAGCUGCUGGAUUUGGGAGGCUGCAAGGAGCAAGCAUGGCUCUCUGACAGAACAAAUAAGAUGACAUUUUAGCAACAACUUUGAAGGAUUUGAGCUACUGGAGGGUGAAACAGUGACCUUAUUUUCUUGAUUAAGGAGAGCUGAGCAAUUGUACAGCACCAGGCCAUGGAUGACUUCCUGGAUGAAAUGGAUGGGCUUGUCCUUAGGCCAAAACAUAGCAUCAUACCAGCCACUAUGAAGGAGAAAACAACUCUGUCCCAGCUGAAACCAGGACAAUAUGAAGACUCUGCACUGACCUUGACACCCAGCUUCCCUGAGAAACAGGAACAGCCAACUGCUGGUGUGAAGAAAUCUGAUGACCAACGUGGAUAGUGAUAACAAAAAAAAUCUUCCUAAAAGCCUACAACUUCAAAAAUAAUGUUUUUUUCUUCCCCCCUUACUCCUGAAAAU
ensembl:lncRNA